AGGGCUCAGGAAGAGAAAGCUAUGAGUUACUGGGCAGACUAUCUUCUCGAUUGUGAAGAAAAUGACAGCUCAGUGACCUUGGAGGAGGUGUUAAUGUUCGCUACAGGUGUGCCAUGUGUGCCUCCUGCUGGUAUGAGUCCUCUGCCACGCCUUCAAUUCCUAUGUUCUACAACGUCAACAUUCCCAAUGGCAAAUACCUGUGCCAACAUUUUAAAGCUUCCUCUUUUGGACACUUAUGGUGCCUUCAAAGCCAACAUGAACUUUGGCAUUAAUAAUUCCCCCGGCUUUGGGUGCCUUUAAACAAUUAAAUAACUUGUGGUAAAAGUUAAUGUUGCCACACACAGUCCGUUGUUUUAAUGUUGCGGUCUGUCCGACCAAAAUGUUGUGACGUAAGAGAGAUGUGAGUAUUUUUCAUGGCAGAUUUGUCCUAUUUCAUAUCUAACAUGUGAACAACACCACACAUUUGUAUUGUAUUGUUAUUGUAUUCUCGUUAGGUAGGUAAGGUAGACCGUGGUUAAAUCAAGAGUUCAGAACAUGUGUUAAGAUGUUUUACAAAUAUUUACAUAAACAGUAAAUAAAGACUGCAAAAGGCACCUUGUCGUGCAAAUGUGCCAAUUUUGUUUUGGCCAUUUGAUCAUGUUUUUACAUGGACUUUGUGAAAGAGUAAAGCUGAAUGACUCUUCAUUAAAUGGUUUAAAAGUG